GACUUCAUGUAGGAUGUGAGGGGAGCUGAGAGCGGCCUCAGUGUCAGGGAAAAAACUGGGGCCUGGUGAUAAAUACAACCCCUUCAAAUCAUCUCAGGCCUUAAUUGUCUAAUAUUGCUAAUAACAAGGACUAACAAUACAGUCUUUGACCUUGAAAAAGACAAAAAAAUCUUUUUCAACAGCCAGCAGCAAGCAGUGUACAGACCAGACACCAAAUAUUGCCAAAAAAUGGGAAGGACAGAUCUGGGUCUGUUCCUUGAUCUAACUGGAUUUCUGUAUUUUUUAGGAAUUACUCUCUUGCCAGCUGCUACCUAUGGAAAAGUGGCUGCACUUGCCUGAGGUGAAGAUCUAUCCUCCACUGUUGUACCAGCCCAUAGAUCCCAGUUCCAUGGGGAUAAUGAGGGGGCUGAGGUGUAUUUCCAUCUCUCAGAAAUGGGAAAACAAAACAGCUCAGCUUAUGGAACCCAAACUGAUAAGAUGCUUGAGAGGUUUGCUGACUGCACCUUGCUGAGGAGUUCAGGCUACAUCAACCCCCACAAAUUUUCUUGCAGUAAGUACAUUUGAAAAGUCUUGGUUUGCCAGAGUUCAGCAAAAUCACAUUCUGUGGUAUUUAAUACUCUUUUAAACAAGAUGUCUGAACAGCAGCACACAAACCACUUGGGUGACUCAAAUCAACAGCUUGUUGAGAGUCAACAGCAAGAUAAGUUGCAACCACUCCUUGAUUAAAGGAGGGAAAAUACGAUAGCCCUCAUGAUUCAUAUUAUAGAGGGCAGCUUUUGGGCCAAGUGUGCAAGGAGAAGAAAUAUUGAUGUUGCCUCACUGGCACUGGUGUAGUGUUAAUAGGGUGUCGGCAUUCAGUUUAUGCUAAAUAUUUCAUAUAUGUCUGAUGACAAAUGACAGUGGGAACAGACAGGGGAGGGGACAAGUGGAAAGCUAUGGAGGGUAAGAAUCCAUCUUUCCCAGGCUGCAGCUGAUGCCAGACAUUCAAAAGUUGCUUUCAAUAGAUCAAGCAAGGAAGAGUCACAGCUGAUGUUGGUUAUUUAAAAUUUUAUUUGCCUCUAAUUUAUUCUCAUAAAAACACUCUAAUCUAUUUGGUUUAGUAUUCAGACAGUACAGACUUCUUAUAUUAUCACGAGUGAUAUUAGAGAAGCAGUACAAACCAAGCUACCUUAGCAUGUAACCAAGCACAGCUGGAACUAAGCCCACCCACACUUGUAAAAACUAAUUAACCUGCUUUCUUAGGCUUUCUAGUUAAAAUGCAAUACUCAGUUAAUGGCUAUAGUCACCAAACCAUAUAAAUAAAAUCUAACAUGGUAAAACA
rnacentral:lncRNA from 1 species